rnacentral:rRNA from 1 species
CCUCUCGGGGGUAAGCGGGCAGAACUUGCAAGUAUUGUCAAGAGAUUCAGACUUGGAUUUGUUGGCUGACUCUACUCAUUAGACUGUUCAUUCGUGAAGAGUUGGGGAGUUGAGUUUGUUCCAAGGAAGAUAUGUCGCAUUUCUCUUUGGCAUCCGGGUUGCAUGCAACUGAUUAUGGUAGUUUAGGUUCUGAGAGUCUGUGAAUUGUUCCUUGUGAAUGGUUCAAGUCUUGGUUGUCCAACUACUAAUGCGGUUGUACUAAGUAGCGAACAAGCGUUUGACGCGGUCAAUUAUUCUUGCGAGUCGUGUACGUAUUGUAGCCGGACGAGUAAUCGUAGUUUAUGAUACGGACUGGUUGUCAGCGAGAGUAAGUUUGGCUUUUGUUCAGUAUUGCAAUCUAAAGCAUGCGUGGUCUGCCUGU